GACGAACGCUGGCGGCGUGCUUAACACAUGCAAGUCGAACGGUAAGGCCCCUUCGGGGGUCCACGAGUGGCGAACGGGUGAGUAACACGUGAGCAACCUGCCCUUGACUCUGGAAUAACAGUUGGAAACAGCUGCUAAUACUGGAUAUUCAUCGUCUCCUUCCUGGGGGGCGGUGGAAAGCUCCGGCGGUCAGGGAUGGGCUCGCGGCCUAUCAGCUUGUUGGUGAGGUAAUGGCCCACCGAGGCGUCGACGGGUAGCCGGCCUGAGAGGGCGACCGGCCACACUGGGACUGAGAUACGGCCCAGACUCCUACGGGAGGCAGCAGUGGGGAAUAUUGCACAAUGGGCGCAAGCCUGAUGCAGCAACGCCGCGUGCGGGAUGACGGCCUGCGGGUUGUAAACCGCUUUCAGUAGGGACGAAGGGUGACUGACGGUACCUACAGAAGAAGGACCGGCUAACUACGUG
rnacentral:rRNA from 1 species